ensembl:lncRNA
GAAAUGCUGCUGUACAUUUCUGUGAGGUGGCUGAGUUUGGAGAUGUGCAUCACCUGCAUUCUGCAGCGAUGAGAAACAACCAAGGUUCAGAAGGCUGGUUGAGGCGUUUUCCAAUCCCCUGAUGGAAGUCUACCUCCUGUUCCUUCAGGCCACAUUCCCAGUGUUCUCUACACUGAACCUCCUUCUCCAGAGAGAAAAGGCAUCCAUAUUCCAGCUGUAUGAAGAGAUGACGAAAUUCAUCAAGAAACUCUGUUCGAGGUUCAUGACACCAGCAGCACUACGAGGAGGAGAAGUCCAUGACAUCCCCUUCAAGGACCCACUGCACCCACUGCC